CAAGGAGUAGUUUAAACAAAAAUUUUAAUUUUGGGGAUUAAGGAUGAAUUAAUAAUUUCUCUUUGA
rnacentral:tRNA from 1 species